rnacentral:rRNA from 1 species
CAAUAGCCGUCAGUGGGACAUCAUAGAGGGUGACAAUCCCGUCCUUGACGCCAACGUACGAGUCCUUUACGAUGCCUAUCUCAGAGAGUCGAGCAGUUUGGGAUUGCUGCUUUAACAUGGGAGGUAGAUUCCUUCUAAAGCUAAAUACAGGCGAGAGACCGAUAGAGAACAAGUACCGCAAGGGAAAGAUGAAACAGAACUCUGUGAAGGGAGUCAAAAGGCGUGAAAUUGUUGCGAGAGAAGCGAUCAAGUCAGCGUAGCUAGGCCCAUCUUUGGACUAGCUUUGCCAGCGGUCUUGUCCUGGACUUGACUUUUGCCCAGCCCGGUCUGCACGGGUAGCCCUCGGGGGUCAGUGGCGUAGCUGGUGGAAUGGCUUGGAAUCGACCCGUCUUGAAACACGGACCAAGGAGUCUAACAUGUAUGCGAGUAUAAGGGUGGCAAACCCGUAUGCGCAAUGAAGGUGACUUUCGACGAUUGAGAAUGGCCUGACGACCAGACAAGCAAUAUUUGUUCCUCGGACGGCCAUUGCCCAAGUUCCGUGGUAGACCCACGAACAUGGAGUUGGAGCAUACAUGCUAGACCCGAAAGAUGGUGAACUAUGCCUGGACAAAGCGAAGCCAAAGGAAACUCUGGUGGAGGCUUGUAGCGAUUCUGACGUGCAAAUCGAUCGUCUGAUCUGGGUAUAGGGGCGAAAGACUAAU